UACAGUUUUCAAUAUACAUAUGGUAUGAAAUAAUUUCCUAUUGAAGUCAUCUUAACAUGGAACCAGAAUUAAAUCCUAACAACAAUCAUGUGAGCCUGGGGAGGAUCCUUCCCCACGUGAGCCUUCAGGGGAGACUUCAGCCUUGGCCAUCUUCUACAUCUAGAUUCCUGACCAAGAGAAGCUGUUUAGAAUAGUUCACCAGUGAAGUCAUCUCAACCAGCACAGGGCCUUGACUCCUAACAACAAUCACACGAACUUGGAAGAGGAGCCUUCCCCAACUGAACCUUCGCUUGAGACCUCGUCCUUGGCCAUCCUCUACAUCUGGAUUCAUGAUACAGAGAAACUUGAGUAAUGAUGACACUAGCAGUCCAGCCUGCAUGGAUGCUGACAUGGAUGCUGUCUCCCAUUCUUACCACUGGAUGGGAAGAAAUGCUAGAUGCAAUCCAGCCAGUCUGUACUCGACUGUCAGUUCCAUCUUCUCAACUCACAGUGUCUUCCAAAGUCCGUGCCACACCACAGCCUGGAACAUCUCCCAAGGUUUCAAAUAAUUCAUCAGUGAAUUCUUCUCAACCUGGUCAAUCAUGUGAACUUAGAAGAUGAUUCCUCCCCAGCUGAUCCUCAGGUGAGACAUCAGCCUUGGCCAUCAUCUACAUCUGGAUUCCUGACCCAGAGAAACUGCCUCUCUGGAUGGUGACUAUAACCUAUAGCCUUGCCCAAUAUGACUCAGGAUUUGGUACUGGCUGUGCCUUUCAUGGGAUGCUUACUUAUCCUGGUCGAUGGCCUAAAGCCCAACCGUCCAGCUUAUAUCCAGGG
rnacentral:lncRNA from 1 species